rnacentral:rRNA from 1 species
CGGACAGAAGGGAGCUUGCUCCCGGAUGUUAGCGGCGGACGGGUGAGUAACACGUGGGUAACCUGCCUGUAAGACUGGGAUAACUCCGGGAAACCGGAGCUAAUACCGGAUAGUUCCUUGAACCGCAUGGUUCAAGGAUGAAAGACGGUUUCGGCUGUCACUUACAGAUGGACCCGCGGCGCAUUAGCUAGUUGGUGAGGUAACGGCUCACCAAGGCGACGAUGCGUAGCCAACCUGAGAGGGUGAUCGGCCACACUGGGACUGAGACACGGCCCAGACUCCUACGGGAGGCAGCAGUAGGGAAUCUUCCGCAAUGGACGAAAGUCUGACGGAGCAACGCCGCGUGAGUGAUGAAGGUUUUCGGAUCGUAAAGCUCUGUUGUUAGGGAAGAACAAGUGCAAGAGUAACUGCUUGCACCUUGACGGUACCUAACCAGAAAGCCACGGCUAACUACGUGCCAGCCG